GAUGAACGCUAGCGGCAGGCCUAAUACAUGCAAGUCGAGGGAGAAUGUUGGAUUCGUCUGACAUGAAACCGGCGCACGGGUGCGUAACACGUAUGCAACUUACCUUUAACUGGGGUAUAGCUCAGAGAAAUCUGAAUUAAUCCCCCAUAAGACUACGACAUGGCAUCAUGAUGUAGUUAAAGCUCCGGCGGUUAAGGAUGGGCAUGCGGUACAUUAGCUAGUUGGUGAGGUAAUGGCUCACCAAGGCUACGAUGUAUAGGGGGUCUGAGAGGAUGAUCCCCCACACUGGUACUGAGACACGGACCAGACUCCUACGGGAGGCAGCAGUAGGGAAUAUUGGUCAAUGGAUGCAAGUCUGAACCAGCCAUGCCGCGUGAAGGAUGAAGGCCCUAUGGGUCGUAAACUUCUUUUAUUAGGGAAGAAAAAACGGGAUGCGUCCUGUACUGACGGUACUUAAUGAAUAAGGAUCGGCUAACUUCGUGCCAGCAGCCGCAGUAA
rnacentral:rRNA from 1 species